rnacentral:rRNA from 1 species
CCGUCGUGGGCGUAGGAAAUUUGAGAGGAGCUGUCCUUAGUACGAGAGGACCGGGAUGGACAUACCUCUGGUGUACCAGUUGUCGUGCCAACGGCAUAGCUGGGUAGCUAUGUAUGGACGGGAUAAGUGCUGAAAGCAUCUAAGCAUGAAGCCCCCCUCAAGAUGAGAUUUCCCAACUUCGGUUAUAAGAUCCCUCGAAGAUGACGAGGUUAAUAGGUUCGAGGUGGAAGCGUGGUGACACGUGGAGCUGACGAAUACUAAUCGAUCGAAGACUUAAUCAA